AAAUUGAAGAGUUUGAUCAUGGCUCAGAUUGAACGCUGGCGGCAGGCCUAACACAUGCAAGUCGAACGGUAACAGGAAGCAGCUUGCUGCUUCGCUGACGAGUGGCGGACGGGUGAGUAAUGUCUGGGAAACUGCCUGAUGGAGGGGG
rnacentral:rRNA from 7 species